rnacentral:rRNA from 1 species
GAUGAACGCUAGCUACAGGCUUAACACAUGCAAGUCGAGGGACCGGCGCACGGGUGAGUAACACGUAUCCAACCUGCCCUUUACUAGGGGAUAGCAUUUCGAAAGAAAGAUUAAUACCCGAUAUAAAGGAUGGGGAUGCGUUCCAUUAGGUUGUUGGUGAGGUAACGGCUCACCAAGCCUUCGAUGGAUAGGGGUACUGAGAGGAAGGUCCCCCACAUUGGAACUGAGACCCGGACCAAACUCCUACGGGCCGCAGCAGUGAGGAAUAUUAGUCAAUGAGCGCUAGCCUGAACCAGCCGAGUAGCGUGAAAGAUGCAGGCUUAUGAGUCGUAAACUUCUUUUAUAUAAGAAUAUGUAUUAAAUGAAUAAGGAUCGGCUAACUCCGUGCCAGCAGCCGCGGUAAUUC